GGGGUGUGGUUGUGCUAAUUGGUCCUUUUUCUUCCUCAUAUGUGAUGCUUUCGGGGCCCAGGGCUAAGCUCUUUUCUCAUGUCAUAAAGAGACUGGAGAUUCUGUUAUGGGUCCCUGUCCUGGCUGAAGCCAGAGCAGAAACCCCAGGGCUGAGCAGUGGGGCCCAGGAUCACCCAAAUAUCUGUGAUGGGGCUGGUUUGGGCUCAUUCAUUCAGCAAAUAUAUCAGAAUCUUCCAGGUACAGACACGUCUCUAGGCACUGACCAUAAUCCAGUGCACAGAGCAGACCCCAAGCCUGUACUGCAGAGCUUCCCUCUAGUCGGGAGCGAUUCAGUCACACUAGGCUGCACAGGCUCGGAGUGUCCACAAGACAGCCGAUGUGACAUCCUCCGGCCUCCUCUCCCUAUGGCUGCAUCUUCGCGUAUUGUGAAGAGGAAGGUGAACCUCUGUUCCAGCAGAAAACGGCCAUCUCCUGCAUCCUGAGCAUUGGGCUGGACUAGCACCGCCAGAAUUUCCCAGCCUGAUGAUGCUGUUGGCUUCCAUAGAGCUCAACUUUCCAGUCUCCCACCUGCCAAUGCAGGCUCAGUGCCUCCAUUCACAGCGGGAGCACCUGAGCCCACUGAGGCCGAGACAGGAGGAGGAGGAGGCCUCCGGGGGGUGGUGUGGGUGAGUGUGCCUUUGGAAGGCACACAACAGGCAGUGAGGGUGGUAACAUGUCCUCUUCUUGGAUCUACAGAACCAGCUCCAGAGCAACAUGAGGAAAACCUUCAAGAGGCAACGCCAUCCGUGUGGCCUCUACAGAGCCAGUCCCGGAUCCAGGCCCAGCUUUCACUGAACUUCAAGAGGCAGAAGAACCACCUGCAGCAUUGGAGCAACUCACCCCAGUUCCUGCGCGGCCUGUGGUGCCAGAUCCCAGGCCACAGCGCGUGUCAGCGGCCACGGCAGAGAGGGCGCCCCCCUACCCCAACCCUAUUUAGAUGCAGUGUUAGAAGUUUUCUGUUCAUGUUACAUAGGCUUAUAAUUUUAGUAUAUUUUUAUGAUAUUUAAUAACAUACAGUGUACUGUAGAGAACAUUUACUGAAAUACUCCCAAAUAUUACCUUAAUUUAGAUUCUAUAAAAUUUAACCCUAUAAACCCUCAGAGCUUUGAGCAAGUCUGUUUUUCUGGAUCCUGACCCAUCCAGGGAGAACUGUCCUCACCUUCUCCACCUGCCCUUCCUGGAGCCAAGACUCUGCUUCCCAGGGAGCUGGCUUCACCCUGUGCCCAGACUCAGAGCUGGGUGGCCAGAGGCCAAGGGCUGGCCUCCCAUUGGGGGCAUCCUAUGCCCAUGAUGGAGGCCUGUCAGCCCAGCCCUGAGCCUCAGCUGUCAGGCAGCCAAGUGGCCCCAGCACCACUCACUCUGGAUUCCAAGUAAACUUGACCCUCAGAAGGCAAAUAUGUAUCCAUAUACCUGUACUAUACAAACACCCAGGAACACGGAUUAGAUAAACUGGUCAAAUCCUUGGUGACUAGCUUCCUGGGCAGCGUCCCCACCUUGGUCCCACCCACCCUUCUGUGUGAAUACAGAACAUGUGCUACUAACCAACGUGUGUGGGACCAACCAUGUACCAGAAGCAGCUCCAGAGCAAGAUCCAGAAACACUUGAAGAGGAAACGCCAACUCUGGUGCCCUCUCUUAAGCCAGAGCAGGCUCCAGGCACAGCUGUCACUGAGCUCCCAGAUGUGGACCCACCUUCAGCUUGUGAACAACUCACCUCAGCUCCUUCGGAACCUGUGGUCCUAGAUCCUGGGCCACAGCGUGUGUCCGAUGCCAUGACAGAGAGGGCUCCCUCCCCUCCUUUAUAUGAAGUUUUAAAAUAUUUGUGUUUAUCAUAUACGUUUAUAACUUUACUGUAUUUUUCUCAUACUAUUCAGUAACCUAGAGUCUAUUUAAAAAAAAUAUAAUGAAAUACUCUUAAA